CCGCGGCUCACGUGACGCCGCGGGCGCCGCGAAGGCUCGCAGGAGGCUCGGCCCCGGGCGCGCGCCCCAUUGGCCCGCGUCGCGCGUCACGCGCCCCGCCCCGCCCCCAGCCCCGCCCCGGCCGCGCGGCGCACUGCUGCCGCCCGCGCGCUCCCGGUCCGGGAGCCACCAGCCCCGCGCGGCCCGCGGUCCCCAGCCACUUCCCCUCCCCCCAGCACGGCCGUGGGUUUGCGGAGUCCGCGGGAGACGCUUCUGAAGCGCGGUCCCCAGGUUUGUUGGAGGAGCAAAUACAGUACUAGAUGGGAAGAGGCGUUGGAGAAGUAGAGAGACUGGGAAGAGGCAGUUAUCAGCCCUGGGCAAUGCUGCAAAAUGGGAACCCUGGCACACAGCCCCCAGGGCAGCAGGAUGAUGGCAGUGCUGAAGAUCAAUAAGCUCUACCAGGGCAGCAAGGAGCUCCACCUGGGGAGGAGGGAGCAGCGUUGCUGAGAAGCAUGUGUCCAGGCCCCCUUGGAGAGGAGGCAUUCCAGGGCGUGCUCAGCCAGAAGAUGCAAGAAAGCCUAUGAAACAGUGGCCACGUUGUCGAUGGAACCAAGGAUGUGGAUUCUCUGUCCCCUUACAGAUUCAAGCCCAAGCCUCUUGGACUGACAUCCAGGCCAUUCAUUUGAAUAAUUCUUUUAAAAAAUAACACCUGUGCAUUGUUACAGUGUUCAAGCACCACAGAAAGGCAUGAAAUAAAAAGGAAAAUUCCACUUGG